UCUCGCCUCGCCUCCCCCACGCGCCACGCGAGUGAGCCCAACACGCAAACGGAACGCUUCCUCCUCGCCCCUCCGCCUUAUCCGAUGGCGUCCCUCACCACCACCACCUCCUCCCCGGCCGCCCUCCCGGCGGCCACCACCGCCUCCUCCGCGGCCGCCGCGUCGUCCGUUUCCCCCCACGCCGGGGCAUCCAAGCGGCCGCUCCUUGCGGGCGACGACGCGCCCUGGCGCGCCGCGGCCACCGCCGCGGGGCAGGGGAUCCGCCCCGUCCCGCGCAUCCACCACGCCCCCGUACUACGCGUCGCCGCUCAGGACGAUUCGGCCGCCUACGCCCUCGCCGUUAUGAAGCAUCCGGAUCCGAUUGGGGAGGGGCUGGCCAUGGAGGCGAUCGCGGAGGCGGCCGGGCCGGAGUGCAUCGUGCCCGGGCAGCAGGCUCCGCUGCGACUCAUGGGGCUCAAGGUUUGGCCCCUUGAUAUAGAUAUGAAGUUCCUAGAGCCUUUUGGACGGGAGUUACAUUCCAUGAAAAAGUUCAUGGACAAGUCAUGCAGCGUUAUGGACUCGUCUAUGGCAAAUAAGUAGGCGCAUGGCAGAUUAGUUCCGUCCAAUACCCGCUGUUGUUGUAUCCACCUGCUUGCUGAAGUUACAAGACCCGAAAGAUAACGAAAUAGGAAGAAGAGCCAUGGAGAGAAACCACAUUCUUUUGCAUAUCUCGAGCCACGCAUCACUUGAUGGAACGAGAUAAGGCAUCGGGAGCACAGUAACGAUUAUAUCGGAUUUAUUUGCAGCCGCAGGCCAGUUGUGAUGGUGAAUUCUCGUAAGAAUUCCUUGUGCAUGCGCUAGCUAUACAGUGGAUGAGGAGUCCUGCCGGGGAGUGCAAAGUUUGUUUGUUUGUUCCCAUGUUUCCAUGUAUUUGUCAGCUCAAUAUUGGCGCAAGUUCUGGAGACUCCUGCCGACCACACGAUCCUCCUGUCGCGCUCACGCAUGGGAUUGCCGAUUGGGACGCUGACAAGCAUGGAAUCGAUUGCUUAACGUAACCGAGCAAGGAUGGCAAUGUCCGUCACGGCUAGGCAUCAGGAUCAGACCACACAACGAGUCGAUCGUGCGUAGCAGGAUAUGUUCUCGCACGCAGCGUGGCUUUGUUGGGGGGAUAUCAGCCGUUUCGCAUCAGAUGACCAACAUCGCAACGAGAAUGAUGAAGCGCAUGGAAUCCACGGUCAUCGCUCGCCCUUUUCAGCUCUGGAGUCGAACCAUCCCCGACGAUCGGACGUAGGUGGUGUUAUCCAACGGAGCUUCCUCCUGCUAAAGGCCGUUAUUGUUGUAGAAAUUAGAACAUAGUAGAGAGUUGAUAAAAAUGAACUUACGUAUUUAUUGA